rnacentral:rRNA from 1 species
GGCGUACGGGUGCGGAACACGUGUGCAACCUGCCUUUAUCAGGGGGAUAGCCUUUCGAAAGGAAGAUUAAUACCCCAUAAUAUAUCGAGUGGCAUCACUUGAUAUUGAAAACUCCGGUGGAUAGAGAUGGGCACGCGCAAGAUUAGAUAGUUGGUGAGGUAACGGCUCACCAAGUCUGCGAUCUUUAGGGGGCCUGAGAGGGUGAUCCCCCACACUGGUACUGAGACACGGACCAGACUCCUACGGGAGGCAGCAGUGAGGAAUAUUGGACAAUGGGUGCGAGCCUGAUCCAGCCAUCCCGCGUGAAGGAUGACGGCCCUAUGGGUUGUAAACUUCUUUUGUAUAGGGAUAAACCUACCCUCGUGAGGGUAGCUGAAGGUACUAUACGAAUAAGCACCGGCUAACUCCGUGCCACAGCCGCGGUAAUACGGAGGGUGCAAGCGUUAUCCGGAUUUAUUGGGUUUAAAGGGUCCGUAGGCGGAUCUGUAAGUCAGUGGUGAAAUCUCACAGCUUAACUGUGAAACUGCCAUUGAUACUGCAGGUCUUGAGUGUUGUUGAAGUAGCUGGAAUAAGUAGUGUAGCGGUGAAAUGCAUAGAUAUUACUUAGAACACCAAUUGCGAAGGCAGGUUACUAAGCAACAACUGACGCUGAUGGACGAAAGCGUGGGGAGCGAACAGGAUUAGAUACCCUGGUAGUCCACGCCGUAAACGAUGCUAACUCGUUUUUGGUAUUUCGGUAUCAGAGACUAAGCGAAAGUGAUAAGUUAGCCNCCUGGGGAGUACGAACGCAAGUUUGAAACUCAAAGGAAUUGACGGGGGCCCGCACAAGCGGUGGAUUAUGUGGUUUAAUUCGAUGAUACGCGAGGAACCUUACCAAGGCUUAAAUGGGAAAUGACAGGCUUAGAAAUAGGCUUUUCUUCGGACAUUUUUCAAGGUGCUGCAUGGUUGUCGUCAGCUCGUGCCGUGAGGUGUUAGGUUAAGUCCUGCAACGAGCGCAACCCCUGUCACUAGUUGCCAUCAUUAAGUUGGGGACUCUAGUGAGACUGCCUACGCAAGUAGAGAGGAAGGUGGGGAUGACGUCAAAUCAUCACGGCCCUUACGCCUUGGGCCACACACGUAAUACAAUGGCCGGUACAGAGGGCAGCUACACAGCGAUGUGAUGCAAAUCUCGAAAGCCGGUCUCAGUUCGGAUUGGAGUCUGCAACUCGACUCUAUGAAGCUGGAAUCGCUAGUAAUC